CCUCCUGAGUAGCUGGGACUACAGGCACACGGCACCACACCCGGCUAAUUUUUGUAUUUUUAGUAGAGACGGGGUUUUACCAUGUUGGCCAGGCUGGUCUUGAUCUCUUGACCUCGUGAUCCGUGUAAAGCCACUAUUUCGAGUUAGCACCCCUCUUGCAUUAUCACCGUCAUGGUCUACUGGAGUCACUGGGACUAACUUACCUGCAUGCUGGACAAACAGUAGCUGUUAAAGGACAGCUGGCUGCCUUCUCACUUGCUUAGUGUCAAGGUCCCCAGGUCCCCUGCAGAUCACUGUUCCCCAUGACAACCCCAUUUCAUAAUUCCAUAAGAGGGUCAUUUUGCUACUGACUUCUUUCUUCACCAUGACAACUAACGAAUGAAGAGACACUGUGUAAACUGCAUAGGGUCGGGGACUGCAGGUGGGAGGUGGUGGUGUUCCCUGCCUUCAGUAGGAAAUUGGCUUUACACAUUGGUGGA
rnacentral:lncRNA from 1 species